rnacentral:rRNA from 1 species
GAUGAACGCUGGCGGCGUGCCUAAUACAUGCAAGUCGAGCGAACAGACGAGGAGCUUGCUCCUCUGACGUUAGCGGCGGACGGGUGAGUAACACGUGGAUAACCUACCUAUAAGACUGGGAUAACUUCGGGAAACCGGAGCUAAUACCGGAUAAUAUAUUGAACCGCAUGGUUCAAUAGUGAAAGACGGUUUUGCUGUCACUUAUAGAUGGAUCCGCGCCGCAUUAGCUAGUUGGUAAGGUAACGGCUUACCAAGGCAACGAUGCGUAGCCGAGCUGAGAGGCUGAUCGGCCACACUGGAACUGAGACACGGUCCAGACUCCUACGGGAGGCAGCAGUAGGGAAUCUUCCGCAAUGGGCGAAAGCCUGACGGAGCAACGCCGCGUGAGUGAUGAAGGUCUUCGGAUCGUAAAACUCUGUUAUUAGGGAAGAACAAAUGUGUAAGUAACUAUGCACGUCUUGACGGUACCUAAUCAGAAAGCCACGGCUAACUACGUG